rnacentral:rRNA from 1 species
CAGUCGAACGGACUCAUAUUGAAACCUAGUGAUUUAUGAGUUAGUGGCGGACGGGUGAGUAGCGCGUGGAUAACCUGCCGUAUACCGGGGGAUAACACUUAGAAAUAGGUGCUAAUACCGCAUAAGCGCACGGCUCCGCAUGGGGCAGUGUGAAAAACUCCGGUGGUAUACGAUGGAUCCGCGUCUGAUUAGCUAGUUGGCGGGGUAACGGCCCACCAAGGCAGCGAUCAGUAGCUGGCCUGAGAGGGUGGACGGCCACAUUGGGACUGAGACACGGCCCAAACUCCUACGGGAGGCAGCAGUGGGGAAUAUUGCACAAUGGGGGAAACCCUGAUGCAGCGACGCCGCGUGAGUGAAGAAGUAUCUCGGUACGUAAAGCUCUAUCAGCAGGGAAGAAAAUGACGGUACCUGACUAAGAAGCCCCGGCUAACUACGUGCCAGCAGCCGCGGUAAUACGUAGGGGGCAAGCGUUAUCCGGAUUUACUGGGUGUAAAGGGAGCGUAGACGGUGAGACAAGUCUGAAGUGAAAGCCCGGGGCUCAACCCCGGGACUGCUUUGGAAACUGCCUGACUGGAGUGCUGGAGAGGCAAGCGGAAUUCCUAGUGUAGCGGUGAAAUGCGUAGAUAUUAGGAGGAACACCAGUGGCGAAGGCGGCUUACUGGACCGUAACUGACGUUGAGGCUCGAAAGCGUGGGGAGCAAACAGGAUUAGAUACCCUGGUAGUCCACGCCG